rnacentral:rRNA from 1 species
AACGAACGCUGGCGGCAUGCCUAACACAUGCAAGUCGAACGGGAUCCUAGCUUGCUAGGUGAGAGUGGCGGACGGGUGAGUAACACGUGGGAAUCUGCCUUUUGGUUCGGGAUAACCGCGGGAAACUGCGGCUAAUACCGAAUGCCCUCGAGAGAGGAAAGAUUUAUCGCCAGAAGAGGAGCCCGCGUCCGAUUAGGUAGUUGGUGGGGUAAAGGCCUACCAAGCCGACGAUCGGUAGCUGGUCUGAGAGGAUGAUCAGCCACACUGGGACUGAGAUACGGCCCAGACUCCUACGGGAGGCAGCAGUGGGGAAUAUUGGACAAUGGGGGCAACCCUGAUCCAGCAAUGCCGCGUGAGUGAUGAAGGCCUUAGGGUUGUAAAGCUCUUUUGCCAGGGAAGAUGAGGACUGUACCUGGAGAAUAAGCCCCGGCUAACUUCGUGCCAGCAGCCGCGGUAAU